AGAAAUGGCAUCCUCUAGUACUUGCCGAAUAAGGUGAACCGCGAAUGGCUCAUUAAAUCAGUUACGGUUCUAUAGAUAUUGACUAUCUACAUGGAUAACUGUGGUAAUUCUAGAGCUAAUACAUGCACAAAAGCCCUGACCUUGAGGAAGGGGCGCAUUUAUUAGAACAAGACCAAUGGGGCUCCUUGUGGGUCCUUACGUUGGUGACUCUGGAUAACUUCAGCUGAUCGCACGGCCUCCGAGCCGGCGACGAAUCUUUCAAGUGUCUGCCUUAUCAACUGUCGAUGGUAGGUUAUGCGCCUACCAUGGUUGCAACGGGUAACCGGGGAAUA
rnacentral:rRNA from 1 species